rnacentral:rRNA from 1 species
CCUACGGGAUGCAGCAGUGGGGGCUAUUGCACAAUGGGGGGAACCCUGAUGCAGCGACGCCGCGUGGGUGAAGAAGCGCCUCGGCGCGUAAAGCCCUGUCAGCAGGGAAGAAAAUGACGGUACCUGAAGAAGAAGCCCCGGCUAACUACGUACCAGCAGCCGCGGUAUUACGUAGGGGGCAAGCGUUAUCCGGCUGGAAUGGUGGUAAAGGGGGCGCGGACGGCGAUGCAAGCAGGGAGGGAAAGCCCGCGGCCCAACCCCGGGACUGCUCGUGGAAAUGCGUGGCUGGAGUGCAGGAGGGGCAGGCGGAAUUCCUGGUGUAGCGGUGAAAUGCGUAGAUAUCAGGAGGAACACCGGUGGCGAAGGCGGCCUGCUGGACUGCAACUGACGUUGAGGCCCGAACGCGUGGGGAGCAAACAGGAUUAGAUACCCGGGUAGUC